GUGCCAGCAGCCGCGGUAAGACAGAGGUCCCGAGCGUUGUUCGGAUUCACUGGGCGUAAAGGGUGCGUAGGCGGUUGGGUAAGUCCGACGUGAAAUCCCGUGGCUUAACCACGGAAUUGCGUUGGAAACUAUCCAGCUCGAGGGUUGGAGAGGGGACUGGAAUUCUCGGUGUAGCAGUGAAAUGCGUAGAUAUCGAGAAGAACACCGGUGGCGAAGGCGAGUCCCUGGACAACUCCUGACGCUGAGGCACGAAAGCUAGGGGAGCAAACAGGAUUAGAUACCCUGGUAGUCC
rnacentral:rRNA from 1 species